UCGAGCGGUAUAUACUGGAACGAAACUUCGGUCUAGAGAAGGUAUAGAGAGCGGCGGACGGGUGAGUAACGCGUAGGCAACCUGCCCCAUACAGAGGGAUAGCCUCGGGAAACCGGGAUUAAAACCUCAUAACACGAGAGUUUCACAUGUUACACUCGUCAAAGAUUCAUCGGUAUGGGAUGGGCCUGCGUCUGAUUAGCUAGUUGGUGAGGUAACGGCUCACCAAGGCAACGAUCAGUAGCCGACCUGAGAGGGUAAUCGGCCACAUUGGAACUGAGACACGGUCCAAACUCCUACGGGAGGCAGCAGUGGGGAAUAUUGCACAAUGGGCGAAAGCCUGAUGCAGCAACGCCGCGUGAGCGAUGAAGGCCUUUGGGUCGUAAAGCUCUGUCCUUGGGGAAGAAAAAAAUGACGGUACCCUUGGAGGAAGCCCCGGCUAACUACGUGCCAGCAGCCGCGGUAAUACGUAGGGGGCAAGCGUUAUCCGGAAUUAUUGGGCGUAAAGAGUGCGUAGGUGGUUAUGUAAGCGCAGGGUGAAAGGCAAUAGCUCAACUAUUGUAAGCCUUGCGAACUGCAUGACUUGAGUGCAGGAGAGGAAAGUGGAAUUCCUAGUGUAGCGGUGAAAUGCGUAGAUAUUAGGAGGAACACCAGUGGCGAAGGCGACUUUCUGGACUGUAACUGACACUGAGGCACGAAAGCGUGGGGAGCAAACAGGAUUAGAUACCCUGGUAGUCCACGCCGUANACGAUGAGCACUAGGUGUCGGGGUCNCAAGACUUCGGUGCCGCAGUUAACGCAUUAAGUGCUCCGCCUGGGGAGUACGCACGCAAGUG
rnacentral:rRNA from 1 species